rnacentral:rRNA from 1 species
AUGAACGCUGGCGGCGUGCCUAAUACAUGCAAGUCGAGCGAACAGAUAAGGAGCUUGCUCCUUUGACGUUAGCGGCGGACGGGUGAGUAACACGUGGGUAACCUACCUAUAAGACUGGGAUAACUUCGGGAAACCGGAGCUAAUACCGGAUAACAUUUGGAACCGCAUGGUUCUAAAGUGAAAGAUGGUUUUGCUAUCACUUAUAGAUGGACCCGCGCCGUAUUAGCUAGUUGGUAAGGUAACGGCUUACCAAGGCGACGAUACGUAGCCGACCUGAGAGGGUGAACGGCCACACUGGAACUGAGACACGGUCCAGACUCCUACGGGAGGCAGCAGUAGGGAAUCUUCCGCAAUGGGCGAAAGCCUGACGGAGCAACGCCGCGUGAGUGAUGAAGGGUUUCGGCUCGUAAAACUCUGUUAUUAGGGAAGAACAAAUGUGUAAGUAACUGUGCACGUCUUGACGGUACCUAAUCAGAAAGCCACGGCUAACUACGUG